rfam:Schistocephalus solidus strain NST_G2 genome assembly, scaffold: SSLN_scaffold0011133
CCGGUGAUAGCUCAGCUGGUAGAGCGGAGGACUGUAGUUGUGCAGCAGCUAUCCUUAGGUCGGUGGUUCAAAUCCGCCUCACCGGA